rnacentral:rRNA from 1 species
AGUGAACGCUGGCGGUAGGCCUAACACAUGCAAGUCGAACGGCAGCACAGUAAGAGCUUGCUCUUACGGGUGGCGAGUGGCGGACGGGUGAGGAAUACAUCGGAAUCUACUUUUUCGUGGGGGAUAACGUAGGGAAACUUACGCUAAUACCGCAUACGACCUACGGGUGAAAGCAGGGGAUCUUCGGACCUUGCGCGAUUGAAUGAGCAGAUGUCGGAUUAGCUAGUUGGCGGGGUAAAGGCCCACCAAGGCGACGAUCCGUAGCUGGUCUGAGAGGAUGAUCAGCCACACUGGAACUGAGACACGGUCCAGACUCCUACGGGAGGCAGCAGUGGGGAAUAUUGGACAAAGGGCGCAAGCCUGAUCCAGCCAUACCGCGUGGGUGAAGAAGGCCUUCGGGUUGUAAAGCCCUUUUGUUGGGAAAGAAAAGCAGCAGGUUAAUACCCCGCUGUUCUGACGGUACCCAAAGAAUAAGCACCGGCUAACUUCGUG